GAUGAACGCUGGCGGCGUGCCUAAUACAUGCAAGUCGAACGAGUUCUGAUUAUUGAAAGGUGCUUGCAUCUUGAUUUUAAUUUUGAACGAGUGGCGGACGGGUGAGUAACACGUGGGUAACCUGCCCUUAAGUGGGGGAUAACAUUUGGAAACAGAUGCUAAUACCGCAUAAAUCCAAGAACCGCAUGGUUCUUGGCUGAAAGAUGGCGUAAGCUAUCGCUUUUGGAUGGACCCGCGGCGUAUUAGCUAGUUGGUGAGGUAACGGCUCACCAAGGCAAUGAUACGUAGCCGAACUGAGAGGUUGAUCGGCCACAUUGGGACUGAGACACGGCCCAAACUCCUACGGGAGGCAGCAGUAGGGAAUCUUCCACAAUGGACGCAAGUCUGAUGGAGCAACGCCGCGUGAGUGAAGAAGGCUUUCGGGUCGUAAAACUCUGUUGUUGGAGAAGAAUGGUCGGCAGAGUAACCGUUGUCGGCGUGACGGUAUCCAACCAGAAAGCCACGGCUAACUACGUGCCAGCAGCCGCGGUAAUACGUAGGUGGCAAGCGUUAUCCGGAUUUAUUGGGCGUAAAGCGAGCGCAGGCGGUUUUUUAAGUCUGAUGUGAAAGCCCUCGGCUUAACCGAGGAAGUGCAUCGGAAACUGGGAAACUUGAGUGCAGAAGAGGACAGUGGAACUCCAUGUGUAGCGGUGAAAUGCGUAGAUAUAUGGAAGAACACCAGUGGCGAAGGCGGCCGUCUGGUCUGUAACUGACGCUGAGGCUCGAAAGCAUGGGUAGCGAACAGGAUUAGAUACCCUGGUAGUCCAUGCCGUAAACGAUGAAUGCUAGGUGUUGGAGGGUUUCCGCCCUUCAGUGCCGCAGCUAACGCAUUAAGCAUUCCGCCUGGGGAGUACGACCGCAAGGUUGAAACUCAAAGGAAUUGACGGGGGCCCGCACAAGCGGUGGAGCAUGUGGUUUAAUUCGAAGCAACGCGAAGAACCUUACCAGGUCUUGACAUCUUUUGAUCACCUGAGAGAUCAGGUUUCCCCUUCGGGGGCAAAAUGACAGGUGGUGCAUGGUUGUCGUCAGCUCGUGUCGUGAGAUGUUGGGUUAAGUCCCGCAACGAGCGCAACCCUUAUGACUAGUUGCCAGCAUUUAGUUGGGCACUCUAGUAAGACUGCCGGUGACAAACCGGAGGAAGGUGGGGAUGACGUCAAAUCAUCAUGCCCCUUAUGACCUGGGCUACACACGUGCUACAAUGGAUGGUACAACGAGUUGCGAGACCGCGAGGUCAAGCUAAUCUCUUAAAGCCAUUCUCAGUUCGGACUGUAGGCUGCAACUCGCCUACACGAAGUCGGAAUCGCUAGUAAUCGCGGAUCAGCACGCCGCGGUGAAUACGUUCCCGGGCCUUGUACACACCGCCCGUCACACCAUGAGAGUUUGUAACACCCGAAGCCGGUGGCGUAACCCUUUUAGGGAGCGAGCCGUCUAAGGUGGGACAAAUGAUUAGGGUGAA
rnacentral:rRNA from 1 species